CCUCCUCUGUCAGGGACGCGCGCACACGUACAACAGCCCAACACUACAGAGAACAGGCUACAAUCACGCUUUGCCCACAGAUAUCAUCAUUAUUAUAUAGAAGAAAAAAAAAACAUCUGUAAUUUGCAUUUGUCAUCGUCUUUUUCCUAUUUGGACAUUGAUGCAUUUGCCUCAGCGGUCGCCGUAGCGGUCCAAACGAUCAAUUUCCUUCCCUCCUGCAUCCAAAGACUGAUCUGCGCUGCAAGAUGGCUGAGCUGAAUUUGGGGAAGGGGCUGACAGCUGGGAAAGUGGCCAGCAACGUUCAGAAAAAGCUCACCAGAGCCCAGGAAAAGGUUCUACAGAAGCUUGGCAAAGCAGAUGAGACCAAAGACGCUGCUUUUGAGGAGUGGGUCAUCAACUUCAACAAACAAUAUACUGAAGGCAGCAAACUCCAGAGGGACCUAAGAGCAUACCUUGAGGCAGUUAGAGCUAUGCACGAGUCCUCCAAGAAUCUACAGGCAUGUCUAGGUGACAUGUAUGAGCCAGACUGGUAUGGCAAGAAUGAAGUGGAUUCUGUUCUGGAGGACUGUGAUGUGCUUUGGACUGAUUACCAUCAGAAGUUGGUUGAUCACGCUCUGAUCUCCAUGGAUACCUACCUGGGUCAGUUCCCUGAUAUUAAGGCUCGCAUUGCAAAGAGAGACAGGAAGCUGGUGGAUUACGACAGUGCCAGACAUAACUAUGCUGCUACACAUAAGACUAAGAAAAAAGACGGAGGCAUUAAAAUUACAAAGCCGUCCACCUUGUUGGAAAGAGCCACUCCAGGCUGGGCUCAGGGUAUCUUGUCUGCACACAACCUUGCUCAGACCAGUCUCUCAAAGAGUCAGGCUGAGGAAGAGUUGGAGAGAGCCCAGAAGGUGUUUGAGGAGAUUAAUCUUGAUUUGCAAGAAGAGUUACCUUCACUCUGGAACAGUCGUGUUGGAUUUUAUGUCAGCACCUUCCAGAGUUUGGCGGGCUUUGAGGAGAAGUUUCAUAAGGAAAUCAGUCGGUUGGAUCAGGAUUUGUAUGAUGUGUUGGAGAAAUUGGAGAAUAGCGACACAGCCAGAGCGACUAGUGACCUUGGCACAGCAUCGUCAGGACCAAGCAGGAGUGAUAGAGAGGACUCUAACCACACUCUCAGACCAGGAGGACCACCUCCAAUCCCCAAAUCCCCAUCCAAGUUAAGACCAGCAGUGCCUCCACCACCUAAGGUAACCCCAUCUAAGGAACUAAAAACUGAGAACAUCAUCAGCCUGUUUGAUGCUGCAGCAACUCCUGAUAUCAAUGUCACCUCUCCUACAGAGUUUGACAGUCCUGCAGUCAACAACCUGUUGGAUAUGGACCUGGAGUCUUUCAGUGAAGCAGCCAAAGUCUCCACAGUCUCUCAGCCAGCUAACUGGGACUCAUGGCCGGAGGAUGCUGACGCACAGGAAGAAGAAACUCAGAAGCACUAUGACCCUGUUGCUGCUGCUACAGAGGCCUGGGGUGAUGAUGGUACACAACCCAUCCGCUAUGAUCCCAUAGCAGCAGCCUCAGAGGGCUGGGGGGAUGAUGGGACCCAACCUGUUCGCUACGACUCUGUGACUGCAUCGCAGGAGGGAUGGGAGGACGAUGGGAGCCAGGCGGCUCACUACGAUACAGUACAAGAAGCCCAGGAGGAAUGGGGUGACGAUGUAGAGCAGCCUGUCAAAGAGGAGCCAGCUGCAGCUGAAACACCUGCUGAUGAGGCUCCGCCUGAUGUGGUUGAGGAGGACAACACUCCAGCUGCUCCCGAGCUGGAUGAAAAAGAGGGUCAGGGAGAUUCUUCAGCAUCAGCUGCUGAACCUGAACCAGAAGAAGCAGCAACAGAGGAGACACCUGCAGACUCCGCAGACUCCGCAGACUCCGACCACAGCAGCAGAAUCAACACAAGAUUCAUCAGAGACUACAGACAUGCCUCCUGGCUUCUUGUUCAAGGUCCAGGUGAUGCAUGAUUAUGCUGCCAAUGACACAGAUGAACUGGAGAUGAAGGCUGGUGAUGUGGUUCUAGUAGUCACCUUUGACAGUCCAGAUGAACAGGAUGAUGGCUGGCUGAUGGGACUGAAGCAGGACGAUUGGCAGCAGAACAAAGAAAAUGCCACUAAAGGAGUAUUUCCUGAAAACUUCACACAGAGGCUGUGAAAGAAGGGGCACGUUCCUUUGUUGAUACUCUGUUCCUCUUGCCUAUUUAUGUCCUUCUCCUCUCUUUCCCCUCAAUACUGUAUCCUAACAAGGACUUUGGCCAUAUAAACAGAGCUGUGAUAGCCCUGGAUGAAGUCAUGCAUUUCUAAGAUCUGCUACACUGUGGAUCUUUUUAUUUAUGUUUCAUUUCUGUUUUUUCAUGAUGUAUCCAUUUCAUGGGGCUGUUUGCCAUCACACUACUCAGUAUUUGAGGAGUCCUGCUCAUUCAGGAUCAGGUGUACUGAUAGUAACCUAUUCAGUGGCUACAACCGAAAUCAAUUUCUGAUGACUCAAUCUUUGUCAUGUCGCAUCAACUGAAAUUUAAGAUUUGUUAUUUUUGUGGCAGAUUGAGAACCGUGUUAAAUAUGUAAGAUGUUGCCAGAUGUACUAGAAAACCUGAAAAAACAUAUUGUUGUAAAAAGUAAGUACAUCCUCUUUCAACUAUAAGGUUUACUUGAGAAGGACAGUGCAAUACGUCCCGUUUUAGUUUAAUAGGCAUGAACCAGUUAUCAGUGUCAAGGUGUAUAGAGGUUUUAAAAAAGUGGAGUUUAAAAAACGGAAAAAUGUUUAGCUUUACCACUCAUAGGUUUAAAAUUAUUUUGCUAAGAUGCAGAGGAAAGUAUGAAACGCUGUGCUGACCGUCCCCCAUGUGGUACCACACACUGCCAGACAGCUGGCUGAAAGAAGGCUCUUACCCUGCUUCCCCUCUUACAAGAUGGCGAAAUUUGGUUGUUGUAGGUAUUUUCAGGCAUGAAAAACACAGACAGUGUAGUGUACUCUUAACAAAAAACUUUUCCGCAACUAAGCUUGCGAGGUUAGAUCGACAUAAUUUUCCUAUGCAGUAAGAUUACAAAGCCUCUCCUGAAUUUUGAGGCUGUUUAUUUUGGACUGUUUCUCGUAUAUAAAAUUCAAUUAUCAAUAUGUAAAUGUACAGUAGCAUUGUUAUACCUACAAUAAAUCAAUGCAUUUUAUUGAUUUAACAGCAGUACAAACGUGUUUCUGUUCUAGUCUGAACAAAGCCAAUUACAUCAUGUUAAAUAUUUUCAUUUGAUACAUUUUUAGGCAACCGUGGUAGUUCCAAUUCAUACUUGCUCAAUUCCCUAAGACCUGGAAAUAACCUCAUUUUUUGGGGGGGGGAUUAAGUUCUGGUAUAUAAAUGUGUUGAAGCGAAAGAGGGUGUACUUUCAUUUUACAUGUGACUAUAAUAUAAAACAAGACCUAAAUGUUGUUUUACAAAGAUAAAAAGGGGCAAAAGUGCUAUUCUCUAGCUGACCAAAUGGGCAAAAAUCUUCACUCCUUAGUCUAGUCACAAAAGAAUAAAAUAAGUACCAUUCCAGAAAAUACAAUUUUAUUUAAUCAAAACUAAAAAAUAAAUAAAUAAAAAAAUAGAAAGGAAAACUUAAUAAUACUCCCGUCUGAUCAGUCAAGAUGCUUAUCUCAUUGCUGGUGGAGUUAGUUUGAUCGAUGAUUAAACUCCUCACACAUUGCCUUCAGGAUAUGUCCAGCAAUUCCUAUAUUCUUACUUUCAUUGUUUACUUGUGGAAAAGGGGCCCUUGGUUGUUGUUGUGUUAGUAUCGAGUCUCUGGUGGCAUAAGUAUGAUCCUGUUGUAAAAACAAAUCAGAUAGUGACAAAUGCAGAAAGCAGCAAAUUCAGACAGACAAUGGGACUCCAGCAUCAACAAAUCCCCCAGAAGCUAAAAAAUAGAAAUCUCUAUAAUAUAUUUUGAAAUAGUUUGAAGUUGUGUGAUAUGAUCUUGUUUCCACAUGAUUCCAGAUAUGCAUUGCUCAGGCUGGCCAUAAAGCUAGCCAGCAUCACAGAGAAGCUGCUGCUGGUAGUAUAAUAGAUGACACACUAAUUAUAGUCCAAUAUAUAACAACUGAGCCAGCCGAACUCAUAAAAAAAAUGUGCCGAAAACAGUUUCCUCUGUUUGCAUAGAGACUUCUAAACACCAAUGCAGAUGUUUAAGAUUAUGCACCAGAGCAACUUCUUUUAUUUUUAUACGCUGCCGAGCAAUGAUUACAUAUAGUCUAGUGUAACUAUGUUGACGUAAUUGCCAACUGAGGAUGAUCUGGAGUAUUUUGUACUUAUCUGGGGUUCACUGCUCUCUGUGUAGAUUCAUAGAUAUGUAGUACUAACCCAGUUGUUCAUUCAGUCUCUAACUUAAAAGUCUCAAAUCUCAUUAGGUUAUUAGUGUGUAAUAGGCACGAGAGAGAAUGUGAGUGAGUAUGUGCGGUGUUUGAGGAAUGCAAAUGUUUAUCUGUAGGAAAAUAUUAUUAACCACCACCACCACUUACAGAGGAAUACAGUCAACCGCAUCAGUGGGAAGGUUUUAUGAUGUUACAGAGGGAAACAUAUGUUUCUUUUUCCACUGGCUGAUAUUAUGGUUCCAGGUAUUAUAGUGCAUUUGUUGUGUAUCAGUGUAAUUUUUUCCAAGCUGUGAUGACAGAUACAUAUUCUAAGAAAACAUUCAUAUCUGUAUGUGAGUAACUGUGAGCAUGCUGACUUUCCACGUGUUGUUGUGUGAACACUCUUAAUUUAAGGCGGUGAUACUUGGGUCACUUUUGAGGCAGUUGCAACAAGCUAUUUUUUUCUUUCUAUAUUUUUUAUUACUUUUUUUAUGGCUACUCUUGGUAAGAGAGAUGGUGUGGGCAUUACAUGGGUUUUUUUUUCAACAUUUUCUCAUAAAUUGAUCCUGUUUUUUUUUUGUUUGUUUGUUUGUUUUCCAUCUGCCGUGCCUCAAAAUGUUUCUAGGUAUCGUGGUCCAAAGCAGAGUUAAUUAUAAGGGAGGCAGGACUCAUAGAGAUAAAGUUAAUACAACCAGACUCAGGUGCACAGAUUUUUUUAAAUACUUUUCAGUAUUUAGCCACUGUGGAUGUGAAUUUUUUUUUCAAUGUGUAUUUGAAAAAAAAAAUUCUCAAAUGUGAGAAUAACCACCUUCAUAUUUAGGUAAAUCACACAGUAAAUCACAUGCUUUGUUCUCAAAUUUUGUGUAUGAAUUGGAGUGUUUUACCUGGGUCUGGUUCUGUCUCCAGCUUUAUGGAUCAGUCUCUAAUGGUGGUAUCUGGGAUAUGACAAAAAUAUUUUUUUUUUCCCUGUACCUAAAUGACCAGUAAUAAUAAAGAUUACUUAGAAUCUGC